CCCCUCUCAGGAUCGCACCUGGAGAGUUUCCAGUACUCUACCAGUCUCAGCUAUGGGAGGGAGAGUCAAACAAAGGCAUACCCAUUUCAUUCCUAGCUUGGCCAGUGGCUAGCAAGUGGCAGACAAUCUGGUGCAAGU